rnacentral:rRNA from 1 species
GACGAACGCUGGCGGCGUGCUUAACACAUGCAAGUCGAACGGAAAGGCCUCUUUCGGGGGGUACUCGAGUGGCGAACGGGUGAGUAACACGUGAGUAACCUGCCCUUGACUUUGGGAUAACUUCAGGAAACUGGGGCUAAUACCGGAUAGGAGCUCCUGCUGCAUGGUGGGGGUUGGAUAGUUUCGGCGGUUGGGGAUGGACUCGCGGCUUCUCCGCUUGUUGGUGGGGUAGUGGCUUACCAAGGCUUUGACGGGUAGCCGGCCUGAGAGGGUGACCGGCCACAUUGGGACUGAGAUACGGCCCAGACUCCUACGGGAGGCAGCAGUGGGGAAUAUUGCACAAUGGGUGGAAGCCUGAUGCAGCAACGCCGUGUGCGGGAUGACGGGCUUCGGGUUGUAAACCGCUUUCGCUCAUGACGAAGCUUUGUGUGACGGUAGUGGGUAAAGAAGCACCGGCUAACUACGUG